rnacentral:rRNA from 1 species
GACGAACGCUGGCGGCGUGCUUAACACAUGCAAGUCGAACGGAAAGGCCCUGCUUUUGUGGGGUGCUCGAGUGGCGAACGGGUGAGUAACACGUGAGUAACCUGCCCUUGACUUUGGGAUAACUUCAGGAAACUGGGGCUAAUACCGGAUAGGAGCUCCUGCUGCAUGGUGGGGGUUGGAAAGUUUCGGCGGUUGGGGAUGGACUCGCGGCUUAUCAGCUUGUUGGUGGGGUAGUGGCUUACCACGGCUUUGACGGGUAGCCGGCCUGAGAGGGUGACCGGCCACCUUGCGCCUGCGAUACGGCCCAGACUCCUACGGGAGGCAGCAGUGGGGAGUAUUGCACAAUGGGCGGAAGCCUGAUGCGGCAACGCCGCGUGCGGGAUGACGUCCUUCGGGUUGUAUACCGCUUUCGCCUGUGACGAAGCGUGAGUGACGGUAAUGGGUAAAGAAGCACCGGCUAACUACGUG